UAACACGUGGGUAACCGGCCCUAAAGUGGGGGAUAACAUUUGGAAACAGAUGGUAAUACCGCAUAAAACCUAGCACCGCAUGGUGCAAGGUUGAAAGAUGGUUUCGGCUAUCACUUUAGGAUGGACCCGCGGCGCAUUAGUUAGUUGGUGAGGUAAAGGCUCACCAAGACCGUGAUGCAUAGCCGACCUGAGAGGGUAAUCGGCCACACUGGGACUGAGACACGGCCCAGACUCCUACGGGAGGCAGCAGUAGGGAAUCUUCCACAAUGGACGAAAGUUUGAUGGAGCAACGCCGCGUGAGUGAAGAAGGUUUUCGGAUCGUAAAACUCUGUUGUUGGAGAAGAACGUAUUUGAUAGUAACUGAUCAGGUAGUGACGGUAUCCAACCAGAAAGCCAGGGCUAAUUACGUGCCAGCAGCCGCGGUAAUACGUAGGUGGCAAGCGUUGUCCGGAUUUAUUGGGCGUAAAGCGAGCGCAGGCGGUUUCUUAAGUCUGAUGUGAAAGCCUUCGGCUCAACCGAAGAAGUGCAU
rnacentral:rRNA from 2 species